GGGUACGAGCCAGAGUCGUGCAUUCUUCUGGCUCGCAGGCCAAUCUCGGAUGGUCGGGCCGCCAUCC
rnacentral:ncRNA from 2 species